UGUAAUUAAGUAUCAGAUGUACAAGAGCUUUUGAAUCUCUAAGGAGUGAUAUAGAUGUCACUAUUUGCAA
rnacentral:tRNA from 1 species